CCGCGGUAAUACGUAGGGUGCGAGCGUUAAUCGGAAUUACUGGGCGUAAAGCGUGCGCAGGCGGCUACAUAAGACAGGUGUGAAAUCCCCGGGCUCAACCUGGGAAUGGCGCUUGUGACUGUGUGGCUUGAGUUCGGCAGAGGGGGUGGAAUUCCACGUGUAGCAGUGAAAUGCGUAGAGAUGUGGAGGAACACCGAUGGCGAAGGCAGCCCCCUGGGCCGCGACUGACGCUCAUGCACGAAAGCGUGGG
rnacentral:rRNA from 1 species